rnacentral:lncRNA from 1 species
GUUGCCUUACACACUAUGCAAGCUUUGCUGUUUGCAGUAAAACUGGCUGCUGCUUGCUCUUUGGGUCCACACUGACUUUAUGAGCUGUAGCACUCACCAUGAAGGUUUGUAGCUUUACUCUUGAAGCCAGUGAGAUUAAAAACCCACCGGGAGGAACAAACAACUCCAGUACGCGCCGCCUUAGGAGCUGUAACACUCACGGCGAAGGUCUGCAGCUUCACUCCUGAGCCAGCCGCACCACGAACCUAUCAGAAGGAAGAAACUCCGAACACAUCCGAACGUCAGGAACAAACUCCGGCCACGCCGCCUUUAAGAACUGUAGAACUCGCUACAGCACUCACCGUGAAGGUCUGCGAUUUCAUUCUUGAAGUCAGUGAGACCAAGAACCCACCAAGUCCGGACACAAUGGGACCUGUAUGCAGUCUAUGGGGCAGUUCAGACCAAAGGGCUGGGCGUGGCACCACAGCUGCCCCGAGCCCUUGGCCUCUCUGAGCUUUUCUCUCUCACCUGAGAAAUGGGAUUUCAAGGAAAAUGAGUAGCGGUAACUUACCCACCUUACUCCACGGUUACUGUGAAGCGCCCAGAAGAGAAGCCAUGGAUGUGGGCGACGCAUUCGAGGUUAGCUUCAGAAGCAGCGGGCGCUGGGUAGCCACAUUGACACCCGGUACUAGCGCUUCCUCCUGGGGGUUCCUGGGUCCAAGGGGGUUGUGGCAGUCCUUGCCACAGAGAUGCAGAGUCUGCAAUGUCCAAAUGUGCUUCGUGUGCAGUGGGAGCCUGGCAAGCUGUAACCCUUGUCGUGAUUCACGCGUCCCAGGGACACUUGGGGGCCGCUGUGGGCAACCCCCCACACCCC